ACCGGAAGCGUGACUACCAGCUGCCGCCGGGCCUUGUUGAACUGCGCCUUGCCGCGGCUGUCGUCCACCCGGUAUGGAAGCGAGAGCCGCAGCUGGUAGUCGGGUUUCCGUGAGUCGAGGCACAGCAGCUUUCCAGUCACUUCCAGCGCUGCCUGCUCAGCCGACCGCAACAGCGGCAGCUCAAUGGUGACGACCAGCUCGUGGGGCACAGUGCUGGGGGCUGAGUCCCGAGAGCAGCGGGUCUUGGCAUUCCUGCGGUCCAGCUUCACGCCGAACUGCUUCUCCACGGCCUCCAAAGCCGUGGCGUCCAGCAUCUGGCGGAAGCGCUCGUGGCGCCGGGCCAGCGCGAGUGCGUCUGGGUGGAAGACCACGUCGUAGACUGUGUAGCGGAUGCCGCGCCCCCCCGCGUACUCGCGGCCGGGCGCCAGACUGUAGGGCAGGGACCACUGGCUGCCGGACGCCGCGCUCCCAGAGCUGGGCCGGCUGCUGGGCGCGCCCACCAGGGCAUUGCUGCAUACAUUCACGAAACAGCGCCGGGCCCCAUCCAGGCUGGUGCGCAGCACGUGGCCCGGCUCCGGGUGCACAAACCGCACCUCCACGCCGCGCUCACGCUCCAGCGCGGUAAUCUCCUCCUCGUAGCGCCGCCGGUUCUCGGGGUCCGUGAGCUCCUCCGCAUACUCAGAGAACAUUCGCCGAAACUUGGGGUCCUGGAAAGCGGAGGUGAGCCGCUGGACUUCCUCUCCGCUCAGGUCCAAGUCCUCCAACGGCGAAGAGGCUGCCUUGGCCAUGCUGCCCCUCCGCUCCUUCCCAGUGGUCAGGGGAGAUCGAUCCGAGACGGAGUGGGUGGGACGAUCAGUGUUGUCGCUCUUCUGCGGAGAGAGAGGCCGCGGAGGCCAGUAAACCGCUAGACUGUUGAGCCUUGGGCAGCGCGUGCUCGUUGCUAUAGCGACACCACCAAUGCUGUGGGGGAGGGGCAGGAAUAGAGUGAUGGAAAUGCCAGAAAUAGCCUUAGUUUCUCCAAACAAACAUUCCGCAUUUUUUUAGAUUCCUGUGCCAUAGUGCAGUUACUGCUGCAGAAUAACCAUCCUAAUAAUUGUUAUAAUUUCCAGCAUUAUGUACGUUAUCCACUGUUCACUGGAUCCGCAUUUCACAGAUGGGACCUGAGAAGUUACCUGACCAUAAUCAUAGAGUUGGUGCAUUCACAAGCUGUGAUUCUAACCUAAGUUUAUCUGCUUUUCACUUCGCUAAACCAAUAUUUCAGUCUUCUAGCUAUUUUACCAGUUUGUCCUGUUUACAACUCACUUAGGGCAAGAGAUAUGGGCAGGCUAUUCAUAAAUAAUCGAUGCUCAGUAAAGAUAUGCCCUUACUGAUAAUAAAAAUGCAAAUAUAAUACCACAUGUUACUGAAAAUGGCAAUGGCUUUUUUUUUUUUUUUUUAGCAAUCACUAUAUUUCCUUGGGGUAGUAGGAGAAUUGUAUUAGUAAAACCUUUCUAGAGAGUAGUUUAGUAGCUAUAUGGAAAGCCUUUAGUAUGUGCAUACUCUUAACAUAUUUAUUUUUUUUUCCAUUUAUACAAAUGGGAUCAUUCCCUACAUACACUUUUGCCCUUUGUUUUUUUGCACUUAUAAUAGUAUAUCCUGGAGAUAUUUCUUUGUAGUUAUUGAUUUCCUCCACUUGACUAUCUUUGUCAUGAGAAAGUUCAGACUUAAAGAGAAGAAGACCUGCAAGGCUUCUCUGAAAGAAUGCAGAUUUGUUUGUAGCUUAUGGAUUUAAAAGGCAAGCUGUUUAUUGAGACUGCGUGCUUUGGUUCAUGGCUUCUCAAGGUGGUGUGAUUGUCCUGUUAAAAACAAAAGGGGAGUUUGCUUGAUGAUAAACUCAGGCUGUGUGUGGGCUAACUAGAAAAUGGAGUAUGCAAUCAGCGGAUUAACCUGCCAUGUAGCAGAAGGCGGCUGUCUCCAGGUGGGCCAUCCUCAGCCUGCCCUGCACCCUGAAUCUUGAUUGAGGCUGGAACUCUGCUAUUGACUUGUGUCAUUGUUGAAGCCUGUGAACCUCCCAGGACCCCUGUUUUUAUGUCUAUUAGAUGAACGUGGCAAUACCUGUCCUCUCAGUGGGUUUGCUGUGUGGACUGCCAGGUUUGCAGACCCAAAUACCUUUAAGGCUUAUGUAGGCAAGUACCUAAGUCAAGUGAGGCUGCUGUAAGUAAUAGGAAGUAGGGGGGACUAUAACUAAGAGGAAGUCAAUCACACACAUGCACACCCUCCCAGAUUUAAACCUUUAUAAACAAAUAACAUCCUGGCCAAACAAAGCAUAUCUGUGGGCUACUUGCAGCUCUCCAUUAAGAGUAUGCAUCCUAUAAAUUUGAGUUAUGAUUUCUGAGGAAAUGCCACUGCUGUGACUGUCUCACUCCUUUUGUGCUGUCCCACUUCAGCAGUCCCUUCCUACAAGAGUCAGGAGAAGUUAGGUUGGGUUGUAAGAAUGAUUCUAUUAUUUAUUUAUUUGGGGGGGGGACAAGAAAUAGGUUUAUUAAGAUAGGAUGCUUGUGA